rnacentral:rRNA from 1 species
UGAACGCUGGCGGCGUGCCUAAUACAUGCAUGUCGAGCGAACAGACGAGGAGCUUGCUCCUCUGACGUUAGCGGCGGACGGGUGAGUAACACGUGGAUAACCUACCUAUAAGACUGGGAUAACUUCGGGAAACCGGAGCUAAUACCGGAUAAUAUAUUGAACCGCAUGGUUCAAUAGUGAAAGACGGUUUUGCUGUCACUUAUAGAUGGAUCCGCGCCGCAUUAGCUAGUUGGUAAGGUAACGGCUUACCAAGGCGACGAUGCGUAGCCGACCUGAGAGGGUGAUCGGCCACACUGGAACUGAGACACGGUCCAGACUCCUACGGGAGGCAGCAGUAGGGAAUCUUCCGCAAUGGGCGAAAGCCUGACGGAGCAACGCCGCGUGAGUGAUGAAGGUCUUCGGAUCGUAAAACUCUGUUAUUAGGGAAGAACAAAUGUGUAAGUAACUAUGCACGUCUUGACGGUACCUAAUCAGAAAGCCACGGCUAACUACGUG